rnacentral:misc_RNA from 1 species
AGACCGGAGACACGAUCAGGCUUGAGAUCGCCUGCACCUGUGUAAGAAAAAGCCCCGCUACAACGGCGCCAGCGAUUGACCCCAUGCCUCCGACAAUCACCACGGUGAAUGCCAGAAAGAUGAANNNGCCCAUGGUCGGAAACACCGAAUAGAUCGGCGCGAGCAGCACACCGGCGAGGCCUGCCAGCGCCACACCUAACGCGAAGGUAACCGCGAAUACUCUUUUAACCGGCACGCCG